GCCCCUGUAGCUCAGAUGGAUAGAGCAACUGCCUUCUAAGCAGUAGGUCACGGGUUCGAGUCCUGUCGGGGGCGCCA
rnacentral:tRNA from 1 species